rnacentral:rRNA from 1 species
CUACGGGUGGCUCCAGUGGGGAAUAUUGGGCAAUGGGCGCAAGCCUGACCCAGCAACGCCGCGUGAGGGAAGAAGGUUUUCGGAUUGUAAACCUCUGUCCUUGGGGACGAAGAAGUGACGGUACCCAAGGAGGAAGCUCCGGCUAACUACGUGCCAGCAGCCGCGGUAAUACGUAGGGAGCAAGCGUUGUCCGGAAUUACUGGGCGUAAAGGGUGCGUAGGCGGCAUAUUGAGUCAGGUGUGAAAUACUCGGGCUCAACCCGGGGGCUGCAUUUGAAACUGAUAUGCUUGAGUGUGAGAGAGGAAAGUGGAAUUCCUAGUGUAGCGGUGGAAUGCGUAGAUAUUAGGAGGAACACCAGUGGCGAAGGCGACUUUCUGGCUCAUAACUGACGCUGAGGCACGAAAGCGUGGGGAGCAAACAGGAUUAGAUACCCCCGUAGUC